rnacentral:rRNA from 1 species
UACGUAGGGUGCAAGCGUUAAUCGGAAUUACUGGGCGUAAAGCGUGCGCAGGCGGUUUUGUAAGUCUGACGUGAAAUCCCCGGGCUCAACCUGGGAAUUGCGUUGGAGACUGCAAGGCUAGAAUCUGGCAGAGGGGGGUAGAAUUCCACGUGUAGCAGUGAAAUGCGUAGAGAUGUGGAGGAACACCGAUGGCGAAGGCAGCCCCCUGGGUCAAGAUUGACGCUCAU